GAUGUUGAACGUGAAGGAUAACGUUGCGUCAGCAACGGCCCGUAGGGCAAGGCGAAGCCGAGUCAUCCUGCACGACCCAUCA
rnacentral:sRNA from 1 species